AUUGAACGCUGGCGGCAUGCCUUACACAUGCAAGUCGAACGGCAGCGGGGGAGAAGCUUGCUUUUCCUGCCGGCGAGUGGCGAACGGGUGAGUAAUACAUCGGAACGUGCCCUGUAGUGGGGGAUAACUAGUCGAAAGAUUAGCUAAUACCGCGUACGACCUGAGGGUGAAAGUGGGGGACCGCAAGGCCUCAUGCUAUAGGAGCGGCCGAUGUCUGAUUAGCUAGUUGGUGGGGUAAAGGCCUACCGAGGCGACGAUCAGUAGCUGGUCUGGGAGGACGAUCAGCCACACUGGGACUGAGACACGGCCCAGACUCCUACGGGAGGCAGCAGUGGGGAAUUUUGGACAAUGGGCGAAAGCCUGAUCCAGCAAUGCCGCGUGUGUGAAGAAGGCCUUCGGGUUGUAAAGCACUUUUGUCCGGAAAGAAAUGGCUCUGGUUAAUACCUGGGGUCGAUGACGGUACCGGAAGAAUAAGGACCGGCUAACUACGUGCCAGCCGCCGCCGUAA
rnacentral:rRNA from 1 species